rnacentral:rRNA from 1 species
UGCCAGCCGCCGCGGUAACACGGGGGGCGCAAGCGUUAUUCGGAAUUAUUGGGCGUAAAGGGCGCGUAGGCGGUCUUGUCGGUCAGAUGUGAAAGCCCGGGGCUCAACCCCGGACGUGCAUUUGAAACAGCAAGACUUGAAUACUGGAGAGGAAAGCGGAAUUCCUGGUGUAGAGGUGAAAUUCGUAGAUAUCAGGAGGAACACCGAUGGCGAAGGCAGCUUACUAAGCUACGAUUGACGCUGAGGCACGAAGGCGUGGGGAGCGAACAGGAUUAGAUA